CAUGCAAGUCGAACGAAGUAGCAAUACUUAGUGGCAGACGGGUGAGUAACAUGUAGGUAUCUGCCCUUUGGCCUGGAAUAACACGAGGAAACUUGUGCUAAUACCGGAUAAGUCUUUACAGAGAAAGCUUUAUGCACCAUUGGAUGAGCCUGCACUUGAUUAGUUUGUUGGUGGGGUAAUGGCCUACCAAGACUGUGAUCAAUAGCUGAUUUGAGAGGAUGAUCAGCCACAUUGGGACUGAGACACGGCCCAAACUCCUACGGGAGGCAGCAGUGGGGAAUCUUGCACAAUGGAGGAAACUCUGAUGCAGCGAUGCCGCGUGAGUGAAGAAGGCCUUUGGGUUGUAAAGCUCUUUCGUCGGGGAAGAAAAUGACUGUACCCGAAUAAGAAGGUCCGGCUAACUUCGUGCCAGCAGCCGCGGUAAUACGAAGGGACCUAGCGUAGUUCGGAAUUACUGGGCUUAAAGAGUUCGUAGGUGGUUGAAAAAGUUGGUGGUGAAAUCCCAGAGCUUAACUCUGGAACUGCCAUCAAAACUUUUCAGCUAGAGUAUGAUAGAGGAAAGCAGAAUUUCUAGUGUAAAGGUGAAAUUCGUAGAUAUUA
rnacentral:rRNA from 1 species